GAUGACCUGCCGGGGCCAAGUUUACCCACAACUUUAUACUGGUUAUUUGUCAAAGGAUAUGCGGACAGGAGCCACUUACUGCAGGAUGUACAGAAGAGAUUGUACGGGCCCAUCUGGCGCUCCAGGUUCGGUCCGUUUGACAUCGUUAAUGUGGCGACUCCAGAGCUCAUAGCUCAGGUAAUCCGACAGGAGGGUCGGCAUCCAGUUAACAUUUACUUAUGUGCUUUGAAUAUUUUACUCACUGAUAUUCA